UACGUAGGGGGCAAGCGUUGUCCGGAUUUAUUGGGCGUAAAGAGCUCGUAGGUGGUUCGGUAAGUCGGGUGUUAAACCCCCAGGCUCAACCUGGGGACGCCACUCGAUACUGCUGUGACUAGAGUCCGGUAGGGGAGCGUGGAAUUCCUGGUGUAGCGGUGAAAUUCGUAGAUAUUCGGAAGAACACCAGUGGCGAAGGCGGCUCACUGGCCCGGUACUGACGCUGAGGUGCGAAAGCGUGGGGAGCAAACAGG
rnacentral:rRNA from 1 species